rnacentral:rRNA from 1 species
CCCCGGUAAACGGCGGCCGUAACUAUAACGGUCCUAAGGUAGCGAAAUUCCUUGUCGGGUAAGUUCCGACCUGCACGAAUGGCGUAAUGAUGGCCAGGCUGUCUCCACCCGAGACUCAGUGAAAUUGAACUCGCUGUGAAGAUGCAGUGUACCCGCGGCAAGACGGAAAGACCCCGUGAACCUUUACUAUAGCUUGACACUGAACAUUGAGCCUUGAUGUGUAGGAUAGGUGGGAGGCUUUGAAGUGUGGACGCCAGUCUGCAUGGAGCCGACCUUGAAAUACCACCCUUUAAUGUUUGAUGUUCUAACGUGGACCCGUAAUCCGGGUUGCGGACAGUGUCUGGUGGGUAGUUUGACUGGGGCGGUCUCCUCCUAAAGAGUAACGGAGGAGCACGAAGGUUGGCUAAUCCUGGUCGGACAUCAGGAGGUUAGUGCAAUGGCAUAAGCCAGCUUGACUGCGAGCGUGACGGCGCGAGCAGGUGCGAAAGCAGGUCAUAGUGAUCCGGUGGUUCUGAAUGGAAGGGCCAUCGCUCAACGGAUAAAAGGUACUCCGGGGAUAACAGGCUGAUACCGCCCAAGAGUUCAUAUCGACGGCGGUGUUUGGCACCUCGAUGUCGGCUCAUCACAUCCUGGGGCUGAAGUAGGUCCCAAGGGUAUGGCUGUUCGCCAUUUAAAGUGGUACGCGAGCUGGGUUUAGAACGUCGUGAGACAGUUCGGUCCCUAUCUGCCGUGGGCGCUGGAGAACUGAGGGGGGCUGCUCCUAGUACGAGAGGACCGGAGUGGACGCAUCACUGGUGUUCGGGUUGUCAUGCCAAUGGCACUGCCCGGUAGCUAAAUGCGGAAGAGAUAAGUGCUGAAAGCAUCUAAGCACGAAACUUGCCCCGAGAUGAGUUCUCCCUGAGACUUAGAGUCUCCUGAAGGAACGUUGAAGACGACGACGUUGAUAGGCCGGGUGUGUAAGCGCAGCGAUGCGUUGAGCUAACCGGUACUAAUG